rnacentral:other from 1 species
AAAUCUCUGCGGAGUUCGAGAAACGGCAACUUGGGUUCGCCGCCUUAAUGACUCUUAUUACGGGAGCUUGACCCGCAUGGUAUGGCCGCCACGCCGCCCCGCGCGGAAGGCGAAAGUAUCACGGUAGCACCCACCUGCUGACAAAAAGGCAGUAGGAACCCCAACAGCUUGACGGCUCAGGCGGAGAUUUU